rnacentral:tRNA from 1 species
GGGCCUCUAGCUCAAUGGGUCAGAGCUACGGACUUUUAAUCCGUUGGUUGUGGGUUCGAGUCCCACGGGGCCCA